AAAAAAAAAAAAAAACUAUCACGGGUGUUCUUUUACUGCACCUAAUUCAAUCGAGUCUCUUGUCUUUAAAGCGCAUGCGCACCAAAAGUGUUCAUGUUGUCUUUCUCUACCCUGUAUGGCUGUCCAUCCAACAAAAGUCAUGAAGAGCUAGUUUCUUUUUUUUUAAACAUUUUACGUAGUAACCGUAAUCCUUUAAUCAAAGGUAAGGUCUUUAUUGAACGAACGCGUCUCGACCAGAGUGAAGAAAAACAAUUAAAAACCAUUUAGAAAAUUUUUUACACUA